AGAGAGAGAGAGAGAGAGUGUAUCGCUGUCAAGGGCGUAAUUGGAAUUUGAGGUUUGUCUCGAUAAGUUUUUUUUAUACAACGAAGCUGAAGAUUUUAGCUUCGUGAUUGGAUCGUCGUUUUCACACGCGCAUAGGAUUCGAUGGGCUCUGUGAAGCUUGUGAUAGUCUUAAGUAUUUAAUUAUUGGGAUCCAUUAUUUAUGUAAAAAAAAAUCUAGCUACUAUCUAUGCCUUCUGUUUCUAGUUAGGAUAAUUAUGUUUGUGUAUAAUUAUCCUAAUUUUUGACAAUUAUAAACUAUGGUAUGUGCGUUUUCUACAUUUGUAUGCAGAUUAGCUGUCACACUAUGUAACGAUUAUACAUUCUCCAAAGUAAUUACCGUUUAUGUUUAAAGUUAUUAACUUCAUAAUUUAAAAAAAAAGUUGUGUAACAACUGUCAAAAACAACAGAUAUAGAAAAAAGGUUAUCCAUGCUUUUAGAUCAAGUGGAAUGGUGAAACGUUAUCACCAUUCAACAAACAUACUGUUCUUACACAGAUCAAUGAUAGUGAUUUUGGGUUUCCUAUGCCGGUCUAGAAAUCAUAUGAAGUCAACCGUUCUUGGUUUUGACCAAUCAUAGCCUUGUGAAAGCUAUUUGUAUUUUUAAGUCAUUUCUCAGGAAUAUAAAUGAGGUGGAGUCAAAUUUUAAUAUUUUUCUUCUUCUGGGUAUAUGAAUGUGUAGGAGAAAUCUAUGUAAACUAAAAGGAUAAAUAGAAGAAAAAAUAGUGUGUUAUCUUUUUCUUUACAAGUAAAAGUGAGAGAGAAAGGUAGUGGUGGUGGUCUAGCUGUAAGAGGGAGCAAGUCGUCAGAAUGCUGCGUUGUAAUCAUAAUUAGCGACAACGAAAUUUUGACAACAACAAGAAGAAAAAAGUAAAAAGCGUUUUGCCUAUUUUUCCACGUCUCACACGUGGCGUCCGGCCAAUGGCUGUUUUUAUAGAAUUCUCCUUUUGAAAACGCAAAUGUUUUUGGAAUGUAGUUCAUAAGGGUCGAUCAAAAAAGAUAAAAAGAGCAAGUGGGGUUUUGUACUUUUGCUGCGGAAUUGAAUGUUACACAUGCGAGUGCAGAAGAUUCACUAUUCAUAAGUAGGUACCAUUGUUUAUGUAUAAAACAUGUAAACACUAUUAUCUGCUACCUAGGAAUAACUCUUUGGUUCAUUCUCUGUAAAGCAAUGAACAACCAUGCUGCAUUAAAGAAAAAGAGUAAUUAAUUUAUGUUCUACCAUGUAUCAUGGUCGUUUUGUAAAAGAAAAGGUUUGUUAUCAAACAAAGACAAGACAACAAGAAGAGCUCUUUGAGAAGGAUACAAAAUAAUUUGAGGUUUGUCUCGAUAAGUUUUUUUUAUACAACGAAGCUGAAGAUUUUAGCUUCGUGAUUGGAUCGUCGUUUUCACACGCGCAUAGGAUUCGAUGGGCUCUGUGAAGCUUGUGAUAGUCUUAAGUAUUUAAUUAUUGGGAUCCAUUAUUUAUGUAAAAAAAAAUCUAGCUACUAUCUAUGCCUUCUGUUUCUAGUUAGGAUAAUUAUGUUUGUGUAUAAU
rnacentral:lncRNA from 1 species